AGUGAACGCUGGCGGUAGGCCUAACACAUGCAAGUCGAACGGCAGCACAGUAAGAGCUUGCUCUUACGGGUGGCGAGUGGCGGACGGGUGAGGAAUACAUCGGAAUCUACUUUUUCGUGGGGGAUAACGUAGGGAAACUUACGCUAAUACUGCAUACGACCUACGGGUGAAAGCAGGGGAUCUUCGGACCUUGCGCGAUUGAAUGAGCCGAUGUCGGAUUAGCUAGUUGGCGGGGUAAAGGCCCACCAAGGCGACGAUCCGUAGCUGGUCUGAGAGGAUGAUCAGCCACACUGGAACUGAGACACGGUCCAGACUCCUACGGGAGGCAGCAGUGGGGAAUAUUGGACAAUGGGCGCAAGCCUGAUCCAGCCAUACCGCGUGGGUGAAGAAGGCCUUCGGGUUGUAAAGCCCUUUUGUUGGGAAAGAAAAGCAGCAGGUUAAUACCCCGCUGUCCUGACGGUACCCAAAGAAUAAGCACCGGCUAACUUCGUG
rnacentral:rRNA from 1 species